rnacentral:rRNA from 1 species
GCUGGCGGCAGGCCUAACACAUGCAAGUCGAGCGGUAGCACAGAGAAGCUUGCUUCUUGGGUGACGAGCGGCGGACGGGUGAGUAACGCGUAGGAAUCUACCUAAUGGUGUGGGAUAGCCCAGGGAAACUUGGAUUAAUACCGCAUAAGUCCUAAGGGAGAAAGCGGGGGAUCUUCGGACCUCGUGCCAUUAGAUGAGCCUGCGUAAGAUUAGCUAGUUGGUGAGGUAAGAGCUCACCAAGGCGACGAUCUUUAGCUGGUCUGAGAGGAUGAUCAGCCACACUGGGACUGAGACACGGCCCAGACUCCUACGGGAGGCAGCAGUGGGGAAUAUUGGACAAUGGGGGCAACCCUGAUCCAGCCAUGCCGCGUGUGUGAAGAAGGCCUUCGGGUUGUAAAGCACUUUCAGAUGUGAGGAAAGGUUGCAGAUUAAUACUCUGUAGCUGUGACGUUAACAUCAGAAGAAGGACCGGCUAACUCCGUGCCAGCAGCCGCGGUAAUACGGAGGGUCCGAGCGUUAAUCGGAAUUACUGGGCGUAAAGCGCGCGUAGGUGGUUUCGUCAGUCAGAUGUGAAAGCCCAGGGCUCAACCUUGGAAUUGCACCUGAUACUGCGGGACUAGAGUACGAUAGAGG